rnacentral:lncRNA from 1 species
UACGAACAGUAUUUUUUCUCAGAUAACCGAAGAAAAACUUCAGCGAAAGCUUCAUCAAGUAUUGAUAACACGUAACAGAGAAGGAUCGGAAGAUUUUCCCGCUCUGAUACCAUGAAAACAUGAGGAUUUGAAGAUGAAAAUCAGAAACGAUGAAGAUGAACAGGAACCGAUACAGAGAGAGAAUGGGAAGCUUCUGGAAAAAGCCAUAAGACCAAAA